rnacentral:lncRNA from 1 species
CUUCAGCUGAGUGCCAAGUCCGAGCCGCACGGGAACAAGGAAUCCUCUUGGGGGCCGAGGGAGGCAGGCGAGAAAGAGGCAGCAGAGACAUCAUUUUGCGUGUCAUCUGUUGGUCUCACCUCCACCCCCACCCCUGCUAGUAAUACGCUUCAACCAGACCCCGUAGAGAGACACCUCUGCUGCUCAACUGGAGGUCACCCAGAUGCUGGGACGACAGCUGGGGGAGAGGGGAGAGGGCGGCUGGGAGGCCUCAACUCCACCAAAGCAUCGCAGUUUAGAAAACACCAAAUGUCCUUGCAGCAGAG